AGCGAACGCUGGCGGCAGGCCUAACACAUGCAAGUCGAGCGCUCGUAGCAAUACGAGAGCGGCAGACGGGAGAGUAACACGUGGGAACGCGCCCUUCGGUUCGGAAUAACUCAGGGAAACUUGAGCUAAUACCGGAUACGCCCUUACGGGGAAAGAUUUAUCGCCGAAGGAACGGCCCGCGUCCGAUUAGCUAGUUGGUGAGGUAAUGGCUCACCAAGGCGACGAUCGGUAGCUGGUCUAAGAGGAUGAUCAGCCUCACUGGGACUGAGACACGGCCCAGACUCCUACGGGUGGCAG
rnacentral:rRNA from 1 species